GAGAGAGAGAGAGAGACACCACAUAAAGAAGGAGACCGAGAGAAGAGGACGGGGUUUGUAGAGUGCGGCGGCGGCGGCGGCGGCGGCUCCGAAUCCCAAACACCGGCCUCUAGGGAGCCUAAGCUAAGGUAAGCUCAGCUCAGCUUAGCUUCUCUUCUCUUAGCUAUCUCUACCUGCGCGUCGCACGGGACGAACUGCGCGACUACCCAAGCAGCGCCCUGGACUGCCUCCUCCUCUUCUUCCUCGUGGCCCUCCACCGCACCCUGCUGGGGCUGCACACGCGGGGGAUGUACCGGGCGAAGACGGGGGUGCUGGAGAAGUAGUUGUGGUUCUCGUUGGAGCCUCAUACGGGUUUCUAGGUGCUGGGCCGCGAGUUCGUUUCGAAGCUCAGGAGGGGGGCGAUGCGGCGGCGGGAGGGGUUUAAGCUCCGGCUGGAGCGGGUGGCGACGCUCUCCGACCAGGUCCUGGAACUAUUCUUCUAGUCCGCGCCGGCGCUGUCCGACCGGGUCCUGCAGCACCUCCACGGCGGGGGGCGGCGGGUGCGGCUUUUCCAGCUCGUCGAGCGGUAAGAGCUUCUCUUCUAGUUCUUCGACGAGCUCGUCUAACUCGUCGAGCCGCUGUGGCCGUUCUAGCUGCUCCGGUGGCGCGAGUACUCCUUCCACCUGUAAGAGUUGGAGCUCUUCAGCCGAGACUGGGUGGUCUAACUCUGGUUCGAGAGGUACCAGGGCGUUCUCUUCUUCUACCUCGAGACGCUCGUCACGCCGAGGAAAGAGCAGUGGUUGCUGCAGGAACUCUCCUGCGUCAGGGUACAGUGGCCGUUUGUCGUGUAACCAAUACCAGACCAGUCCCUUAAAGAGCGGCUUAUGUUCCGACGCUUUCUUCGCCUCUUCGAACGUUCCCUCUUCCUUCGUCUCCUCGCAGACUUGGCCCUCUCUCCGGUGGUAUUGUCUCCGGUGGCACUGCUGAUAUCCCUCUCUAGAUCCCUCGUACUGGCACUGGCGAUGAUACUCGCUUCGGCACUUUCUCUCUCCGGGAUACUCGUGCCUCCAUCUCCCAGUCUGAUAUCUCCGCCAAGGAUAUUGUCGGCGUCCCUAAGACUUUCCCGCUCCGGGUCUCUAUCCUUGCCACCACUAAAAAGUUCUUCUCCUCUGGGCCCCUCCCACUCCUCGUCCAGGGCCAGAGGCCCCUCCGUACCAAUAAUUAGUAAAGUUCAAUACUCUGAGCACUCGUCGAAAAACAACUUUGGUAUGGAUACCAGAAGGAAAAUAAUAUCUCUCCUAUUUUUUGUCUCCUUCCUAACCUAGCAGUUGAACCCUGAACAACCAUGUAGUUGGACUACUUAAGUUCACAACAGCUGGCCACGUACGCUGUCUCUAGUUACGAUCUAAAGUUAAUGUCUUAGUGGGAAAACCCGUAGCUCUUAAGAGUACCAAGUCUCAACUUAAACUCGUACAUUUUAGUGGGUCAACAAACUCGAAACUCUUUGCAAAACC
rnacentral:rRNA from 1 species